UACGUAGGGUGCGAGCGUUGUCCGGAUUUAUUGGGCGUAAAGAGCUCGUAGGCGGUCUGUCGCGUCUGCUGUGAAAACUCAGGGCUUAACCCUGAGCUUGCAGUGGGAACGGGCAGACUAGAGUGCGGUAGGGGAGACUGGAAUUCCUGGUGUAGCGGUGAAAUGCGCAGAUAUCAGGAGGAACACCGGUGGCGAAGGCGGGUCUCUGGGACGGAACUGACGCUGAGGAGCGAAAGCGUGGGGAGCGAACAGG
rnacentral:rRNA from 1 species